rnacentral:rRNA from 1 species
GAGUACGGCCGCAAGGCUGAAACUUAAAGGAAUUGGCGGGGGAGCACUACAACGGGUGGAGCCUGCGGUUUAAUUGGACUCAACGCCGGAAAACUCACCGGGGGCGACAGCAAUAUGUAGGUCAGGUUAAAGGUCUUACCUGAAUCGCUGAGAGGAGGUGCAUGGCCGUCGUCAGUUCGUACUGUGAAGCAUCCUGUUAAGUCAGGCAACGAGCAAGACCCGUGCCCACUGUUACCAGCAUAUCCUUUAUGGAUGAUGGGGACUCUGUGGGGACCGCUGCUGCUAAAGCAGAGGGAAGGUGCGGGCUACGGUAGGUCAGUAUGCCCCGAAUCUCCCGGGCUACACGCGGGCUACAAUGGUUGGGACAAUGGGUAUCUACUCCGAAAGGAGGAGUUGGCAAUCUCUUAAACCCAAUCGUAGUUCGAAUUGAGGGCUGUAACUCGCCCUCAUGAAGCUGGAAUCCGUAGUAAUCGCGUUUCAACAUAGCGCGGUGAAUCUGUCCCUGCUCCUUGCACACACCGCCCGUCAAACCAUCCGAGUGAGGUAUGGGUGAGGGCACGAACUUAGUGUCGUGCUCGAACCUAAAUUUCGCAAGGAGGGUUAAGUCGUAACAAGGUAGCCGUAGGGGAAUCUGCGGCUGGAUCACCUCCU